rnacentral:rRNA from 1 species
UACAGAGGGUGCAAGCGUUGUUCGGAAUUAUUGGGCGUAAAGGGAGUGUAGGCUGUGAGGUAAGUCUUCUGUGAAAUCUACGGGCUUAGCCUGUAACGUGCAGAGGAAACUGCUUCGCUUGAGUGUCGGAGAGGAUAGGGGAAUACCCGGUGUAGAGGUGAAAUUCGUAGAGAUCGGGUGGAACACCAGUGGCGAAGGCGCCUAUCUGGCUGACAACUGACGCUGAGACUCGAAAGACAUGGGGAGCAAACAGG